ACUCCUACGGGAGGCAGCAGUGGGGAAUUUUGGACAAUGGGCGAAAGCCUGAUCCAGCCAUGCCGCGUGCAGGAUGAAGGCCUUCGGGUUGUAAACUGCUUUUGUACGGAACGAAACGGCCUUUUCUAAUAAAGAGGGCUAAUGACGGUACCGUAAGAAUAAGCACCGGCUAACUACGUGCCAGCAGCCGCGGUAAUACGUAGGGUGCAAGCGUUAAUCGGAAUUACUGGGCGUAAAGCGUGCGCAGGCGGUUAUGUAAGACAGUUGUGAAAUCCCCGGGCUCAACCUGGGAACUGCAUCUGUGACUGCAUAGCUAGAGUACGGUAGAGGGGGAUGGAAUUCCGCGUGUAGCAGUGAAAUGCGUAGAUAUGCGGAGGAACACCGAUGGCGAAGGCAAUCCCCUGGACCUGUACUGACGCUCAUGCACGAAAGCGUGGGGAGCAAACAGGAUUAGAAACCCUAGUAGUCCC
rnacentral:rRNA from 1 species